rnacentral:misc_RNA from 1 species
AGUUCAAAUACUGAUAAUUUUCGUAGAAGCAACACACAAAAUGAACAAGAUGGCGGCAAUUACCCACAUGGACCAGUGACGUCACCGGUCAUAUUUCUUUGAUUUUCUGCAUAUCAAAGACAUAAUAAAAAAGAUCAUCAGGGAGAUGUACUUUGGACUUGGUCAUAUCCUACUGUGUCUUCAGAACAACGAGAACUGUUAUCACGGAAAUGUUGUUUGAAUCAGAAAAAUGCUGAUUUAACCCAGUUUGUUUUUGGUCACUGGAAAAAGACAUGGUUCUACAUUUAUACUGCAGAGAUGAAGGAAUCCGACAGACUUCCAAAGAUUCACUCUUUCUCACUGGUUUUAACAACGAAAGAUUAUAACCCAGAAAAAUAUGAGACAUUGAGUAGAAUCUUAUGCAAACAGUUUGCAAGGAAUGGUAACCCAGCUCACCUACUGGAGUGCUAUUUGUCAGUGGUCACGCGGGGAUUGUGUAACAAUGAAGAAAAUGGGACGUUUAUUGUAAAGGAAUUUGAUGCAAGACAGGCCUAUGCAAAUGUUGAAAUAAAAAGUAUAAUUCAAAGUUUAGGAAUGGAGGCCAUACUGGUUUAUACAGCCCUUAUGCUCAAAAAGAGAGUCAUAGUAUACCACCCUAAAGUUGAUGAAUUACUCCGAUUUACAAGAACUCUUCCAUGUCUUGUGUGGCACAGACAGAAUUGGGAUAUUUUAUAUCCAUACGUCCACCUGGACGACGAAGAACUAAAAAGUUUUGAAUCACAGAGGCAUUAUGUUGUUGGGUGUACCGACGCUGCAAUUGAAACGAGGACAGAUUUGUACGACAUAUUCAUCGCUGUGCCAACACAUGAGGUGACUGUGGCACCAAAUGCCAAAGAUUCCCUCGCAAUGAGUAAACUACAUAAAGAUGUCGCUGUCACAAUGGUCAAUAGUGCGGCAAAUGAGGAACUCUCAGAUCAACAAGUCAUAAAGGAAAUUGCUAAGAAGACCAAGGAGCUGUUGAACAAUCUUAAGACAUUAGCCACUCCUAAUGAGGAAGGAGUGGGAUACAUUACACUUGAGGCAUUACGUGAAAGGAAAAUGCAACCUGCAACUGAACAUUUCUUAUACAAUCUUGCCAUGUGUGAGGGAUUAGUCCAGUUAUAGCACAAACCAUUUCAUCUUUUGUAAAAUCUGUGUAAGGGAACUUUGUAAAAUGUGUUUUGAAAUUUUAAAAUGGAGACUCAUUUGCAGCAUUGUGAGUGCAAAGUGCAUCAAAGCAUUCUUUGUAUGGCAGAGAUGGUUUGAGUAUAAGAA